rnacentral:rRNA from 1 species
UACGGAGGGAGCUAGCGUUGUUCGGAAUUACUGGGCGUAAAGCGCGCGUAGGCGGCUUUGUAAGUUAGAGGUGAAAGCCUGGAGCUCAACUUCAGAAUUGCCUUUAAGACUGCAUCGCUUGAAUCCGGGAGAGGUGAGUGGAAUUCCGAGUGUAGAGGUGAAAUUCGUAGAUAUUCGGAAGAACACCAGUGGCGAAAGGCGGCUCACUGGACCGGCAUUGACGCUGAGGUGCGAAAGCGUGGGGAGCAAACAGG